rnacentral:rRNA from 1 species
GUGGGGAAUAUUGGACAAUGGGCGAAAGCCUGAUCCAGCCAUGCCGCGUGUGUGAAGAAGGUCUUCGGAUUGUAAAGCACUUUAAGUUGGGAUGAAGGGCAUUAACCUAAUACGUUAGUGUUUUGACGUUACCAACAGAAUAAGCACCGGCUAACUUCGUGCCAGCAGCCGCGGUAAUACGAAGGGUGCAAGCGUUAAUCGGAAUUACUGGGCGUAAAGCGCGCGUAGGUGGUUCAGCAAGUUGAAGGUGAAAUCCCCGGGCUCAACCUGGGGACUGACUCCAAAACUACUGAGCUAGAGUACGGUAGAGGGUAGUGGAAUUUCCUGUGUAGCGGUGAAAUGCGUAGAUAUAGGAAGGAACACCAGUGGCGAAGGCGACUACCUGGACUGAUACUGACACUGAGGUGCGAAAGCGUGGGGAGCAAACAGGAUUAGAUACCCCAGUAGUCC